GCUCCCACUUUUUAUGGCUGAUUGCAUGAUCUUAAAGCCUUUGAUUUCAGAUAACAAAAUCCAGAAUGAUAGAAGAUACCUAAUUGUACAUUGCAAGUAUAUAUACCUACUUUGUAUUUAAAUAUUUUAUUCCCAUUAUAGACAUUUUCUAAGUUUGCAUUUAAAUUAAUAUGCUAUAAUUAAAAAGCCUUCCAGUUUGGAUCUCUUUUAGAAUAAGGUACAAUAUACAUAUGUUAUAAAUAUUGUUACAUUGUCUAAUACAUCAAAUCACUAUUAAACAUUUUGUUUACUAUUUUUCAAGCUUUUUGUGAUUUCUUUUAAAAGUAUCUGUUAAAGAACACUGUCAAAAUGAGUCUGACAUAAAGUUAAUAUUUGUAUUUAAAUGUUUUAGAAUAUAAAAGCACAAGUAGAGAUAGAGGAGUAUAAGAAUUGCUUUUGAUGGUAAAUGAAGGAAGGAUGAAAGAAUUAGAAAUCGUUUUAACAUUUGUUUGAACAUGGUAAGAACCCUUAAUUUGAGAUCUACCCUCUUAACAAAUUUUUUAAGUGCACAGUACAGUAUUGUUAACUGUAGGCACAUUGUUGUGUAGUAAAUCUCUAGAAUUUCUUAAUCUUGUAUAACUGAAACUUUAUUUCUAUUGCACAGUAAUUUCCCAUUUCUCCCUUACCCCCAGCCCCUGGCAACCAUCCUUGUAUUCUCUGUUUCUAUGAGUAUUUGACCAAGUUUAGAUAUCACAUGUAAGUGGAAUCAUGCAGUUUUUGUCUUUCUGGGAUUGGCUUAUUUUACCUAACAGAAUGUCCCCAGGUUCAUCCAAGUUAUCAUAUAUGGCAGGAUUUCCUUACUUAACACAGUCUUACUUCCUUAAAAAAGUCUGGAUAAUAUUUCAUUGCAGUAUGUGCCACAUUUUCUAUAUCCAUUCAUCCAUCUAUAGACAUUCAGGUUGUUUUCCUAUCUUAGGAAUUGUACUGCAGUGAACAGGGGAAUGGAGAUAUCUCUUUGAGAUGAUUUCGUUUCUUUUGGAUAUAUACCCAGAAGUGAGAUUUCUGGAUCAGAUUGUACUUCUAUUUUUAAUUUUUUGAGGAAUCUUUGUACUGUUUUCCAUUGCAGCUGUAUCAUUAUAUGUUUCUACCAACACUGUACCAGUGUUUCAAUUUCUGUACAUCCUAUGAGCACUUGUUAUCAUUUGUUCUUUUGAUAGUAACCAUCCUAAUAGGUAUGAGGUAAUAUCUCAUUGUGGUUUUGAUUUGCAUUUCCCCAACAAUUAGUGAUGUUGCACAUCUGUACUUAUUGACUAUUUGUAUGCCUUCUUUUUGAGAAAUGUUUAUGCAAGUCCUAGGCCCACUUUUUAAUCUGGUUAUUUGUUUUUUUGCUAUGGAAUUGUAGGAAUUCCUUGUAUAUCUUGGAUAUUAUCCCCUUAUCAAAUAUGUGGUUUAAAGAUUUAAAACUAAGACGUGAAUCUAUAAAACUCCAAGAAGAUAAUUUAGGGGGAAAGCAUCAUGACAUCUGUCCAGGCAGUGAUUUCUUGAAUAUGACAGCAAAGCAUAAGCAACAAACGCAAUAAUAGAGAAAUGGGACUACAUCAAACUAAAAAGUUUAUGCACAGUAAGGGAAACAAUAAACAGAGUGAAAACACAACAAACCGAUUGGGAGAAAAUAUUUGUAAAGGUUUUAGAAUGAUCAGUUUUAUACUACAUUAUCGAAAACACUUAGUGCCAGUUGUAUUUCAAUUUUAGACUUUUCAAACCUUUGAAAAUAAUAUGGUGCCUAUUAUUUUAGUAUAUCUGUAGAAUCCAAGGGGACUUUCUUAACCAAACACAUUAAUCUUAGCAAAUAUUCACACUAAGUAGGAUAAAGGACUAUAAAUAGUUUAAUAUCAGUUUAGGUUAGGUUUCCCUCAAGUGAAUUGUGAAAUAUUUUAAACAUUUUCAGAGCUUUUGAAAUUUCAGAAUUUUCAUAAGGGAUUAUAAACCUAUAGUUUGAAAUACUUAAAAUAAUGAUUCUUAAGUAAAUUAAAAAUAAUUUAUUAAAUGUUAACCUCGCAAAUAAAAGAGAAAAAUGAUCUGGUACUUAAUUUUUAUCUUUAAAACUAAAAUGCAUCUUUAAUGAGUGGCUCUCUGUCCUUUUUAUCUUGUGAAGUUUUUUUAUUUAAAUUUUUUAUGAGACCACUUAAGUAUAUUAAUUAGAUUUUAUUAUUACUCCCACUUAGUAGGGUGUAAUAUAAGGGUAGAACUUAGAAUAAGAAGAUAUUGAAAGCACAUGGUAGAUAAUUGUAAAUUUCUUGAUUGAUGAAGCUUAGAAGUUAGAAAGGUUUUCUUUGCGAAUAUUUACUUUUAGUCUUUAGAUCAAGAUAAAUGUUCUUUUUUCUAGCUUAUUGUUAGAUUGUUAUGUAUUUGUUAACAGCUUUAAAUAAUUUUUGAAAUUUCAAAGUUGCUUGUGCCUUAAGAAAUACCAUGAGUUCUAAGGAUUUAGAGAUCUUUUCUACUUAAAAUUAUUGAUUUUCACUUGAAAGAUAAAACUGUAUAUUUUCUUUUCUUCCCUAUUUGCUAGCACACAAUACCAUUUUUAUUAAACAGCUGAAGUCCUUCUAUAAGAGAAAACACAAUUUCUCGUAUAUAAUACCUAACAACAUAGACAUAAAAAAAUGUUGGUGAAUGAAAGUACUGUACUAGAAAUGUGCUUAGUUAAGAGUUCCAUUCUUCACUGAAUCACCCAGUAUUUUAAUACAGAACCCAAAUGUUAAAGCAUGAAAACAUUAUACAUAUAUAUAGUAUAUAUACAUGAUAUACAUAUAUUAUAGUGUCUAUUACUGUAUGUUGUAUAGUAUCCAUUAUAUACUAUAGUCUAUGAUCUAGUAUCCAUUUACUAUAAAAUAUGCCUAAUACCAUAUAACAGAAUGUCCUAAAUUGCCCAAUGAUAGUUCAUUAGAAUGCAAAAAAAAAAAAAAAUGUUUUUUUUGAAAUUAGCAUCAGUGUAUGAAAAGACUCUCAGAAAACUAAGAAUAAAAGGAAAUUCUCCUAACUUAAUAAAGUCUGUAUACCCAAAGUCUGUAGCAAAAAUUAUAUUGAGACAUUUUGAACACAAACCAAGUAAGAUUGAAAGUGAAAGAAAAAAUUCACUAUUUGCAUAUGAUACAGUCAUCUAUGUAAAACCCAAAACCCAUCAGCAGACUAUUAGAACUGAGAAAAUUCAGCAAGAUUCUUUAAGAUUAAUUUGUAAAAAUUAAUGUGUUUUUUAUACCCAGAGGUCAGCAAUCUAUUUAAUAAAGAACUAGAUAUUUUAGCUUGUGAGCCAUAUGGUCUCUGACUUAACUAUAACUCUGCCAGUAGAGCUUGAAAGCAGCCAUAGACAUUAUGUCAACAAACGGUUAUGGCUGUAUUCCAGUAAAACUUUAUUUACAGAAAAAUGUGGCAAACUGGAGUUAGCUUGUGAGCCAUAGGUUCCUGACCCCUGCAAAUAUCAUUAGUAUAUACUCCAUAAGUAACCCAAUCAGAAAAUAGUAUAACAAAAAUUAACCUAAUUAGGAAUGCAUAAAACCUUCAUGGUAAAUAACUAACCUAUUAGAAGACAAAGGAUUAUCAUGUACUGUGUGUUUUAAUCUGAUGAUACCUGUUUCUUGAAAUCUAUUCUGUCACUGACUCCUGUUAAAAAUUCUAUCCUGAGUUUUGUUUUGUUUUGUUUUGUUUUGUUUUUUUUGAGAAACUUCACAAACUCAUUCUAAAAUUAACAUAUCCCAGUAAAGGUCCAGGAUUAGCUAAGUCACUUUUGACAAAGAAGAGGAAGGAAGCUCUGAGCCUACUACAUAGUGAGAAUUACUACAAAGCCAUAAUAAUGAAAAUAGUAUGAUGCUAACAAAAGAAAGGCAAAUACACUGGAAUAAAUUAAUGAGCUCAAAAAAAAACGCUCACGUAAAUAUGAGAACUUGGUAAGUGGCACCACUAGGCAAUGAGAAACAGGUUGCUUAAAGCAGGUAGAUGCUUAGAUUUUAUUAGGAAAACUAGCUGUUUGGAGAAAAACAGGAUCACCAGCUUACACAUUAUUUAUAAAGACCAACUCCAGAAGGAAUACUCAAAUAUGAAAUGUAAAACUUUAAAGCUAAUAAGAAAUUUCAGGAAAUAUCUAUAUUUUAAGAAUCAGAGAACAUAAUGUGAAAAUUAGUGGGUUUGAUUACAUCAAAAUUAAGUAUUUCUGUUAAAGGAACCAUAAAUGAAAGUAAAAAGUCAAGUGUCAGUUUUUUUAAUAUCUAAAACCUACAUGAGAAUAAUACCUUAAUGUACAAAGAACUUUUAUAAAUUAACAGAAACAAAGCAAAAAUCUUUUAAAAAAUAACUGAAAGAUAUGAAUAGUUUAAAGAAGGGGAAGCUCCAUUGCUGACAGGCAGAUGAAGAGAUACACAAACUCACUUGUAAUCAGAAAGCUUGACGCACGAGGUACAACCUAACAGCCACCAAAAUGACAAAAAUGUAAAAGAUAGCUAUUACAGAGUUUUGAAGGGUUGUAGGAGAAGCGUUAUGAACCAGUGGUGGGAGUGUUCACUAGAACUGCCAUUCUAUAAACCAGUCGGUGUCACUGAAAUCAGGAAUUGUUUAAUCCCUCUGACCCAGCACUCAGGGGAAUUUUUAUGCAGGUCCCUGAAGAUACAAGCUGUGUAGCUGCGUUGUUGCUGGUAGUGGGGAUUUGGAGGCAGCCUAGCUAAAACCAGUGAUGGUAUGCUGUGGAAUACCAGAGCGGCAGGUAGAAGUACACAAUGACAAGAUCUUUAAAACUGGGUAAGUUUUAAAAUAAAUAUACAGUUGAGAGAAAAGAAAAAACAAAAUGAGAUUUUAAUUAAGUACCAUUUACAUAAAUUUAAAACAAAGCAGAACAUAUUACAUAAAAUUAUAAUAUUUAAGAGCAUAGAGAAAGCACCUAGUAUAGAGGAAAAUAGGAGUACAGAUUAGGAAGAAAAAAGAUGAAGGAAUUACCACUUCUUUUAUAUGUAUAAGUAAAGUGAGGAUGCACAUUGUUUUUUCUGGGCAAAUGCCAGCUUUGAAAAGUGGAAUUCUUUGUGUUCAUUGAAGUCACAUUAUAAGCACAUAUAACUUAAACAAAUUCAGCUCCAGCAGAGAGCCUAUAAUCUUUAGGCCCUCAAGAGAAAUUUCAGCAUAUUAAUGUGUAGAACAUUCUAUUGCCAUUAUUAUCUGGCAGGAGACAACUCCUAGUCCUCAAGAUGGUGUGAAGAUGCUAGUUCUAAUAAACAUCACUAACCUGGAUUUUUCUGGUGUUCAUAUUGCUUACCACAUAACCGGUUCCUACAUAGAGCAUCAAAAGUCGAGGGGAAAACAUUAAAGUUGUAAUAGGGUGAUAGAAGGAAGAAUCAUCUGUUAAAUUUGUUAAAAUAUGGUUUCCUAGGCCCCAUCCUCAGAAUUUCUGAUUUGGUAGAGCUGGGUGGAGCUCCUGAAUUUAACAUUUCUAAUUAGCUCACAGGUGAUUCUAAUGCUGUUUGUCUAAGGAUCACACUUUGAGAUAUUCUGUAGGUAAUGUUUCUUAAUAUUUACUGUGUGGGACACCAUAGGUGGCAGCUUCCAAGGUCUUCACCCCGAUAAGCAGAAGAUAAAUCUUUAUGGUGGGCCCAGGAAUCUUCAUUUAGGUGCUGCUUAUGAACAAGAAAAUACCAUUAUAGUAAGCAUAUGUUUGUUGAGAGAAAGCAUGUUAGUAUCUAAUUGUCUGACUUUACUACACCACUGAAAACAGGAACUAAAGUGCUCUGAAUGUCCUAAAAUUGUCCUGAGCCCAUUUUUAUCAUAAUUGAGCCUGUAUAUCCUCAGCUGAAGCUAAAUUUUUAUGCUACUUGAUUGAGAAGAAAUGCUAAAUAUUAAGAAAUGUUAAGGGUAAAAUAUAAUUUUGUUUAAAAUAUGUAGUCCUGCAGUUAUAAAAAUGCAUAUACCCUAAAAUAACCCAAAAUCCAUGUUAGAAAUCUAAACCUACCUAAAAAAUACUCAAGAGUUUUCCAUCUGGAUUUUUCUGCUAGAUACCAGCAUGUGAUUUGAAAUUUUCAACUUCAUAUUUAUGUUAUAUUUUAAAAACUAAGUGCUUAGUUUUUUCAGAACUUGCACUUCUCAUCUAGUUUUGCUGAUUUCUUACAACCUCUAAAAACACAAUCUUUUCUAAUAAUACCUUAGAGAAGUUUUAACCCAAGUUUUCUGUUCUGUUAAAUUUGACCAUUUAUUUUCUAAAGAUGUUGACAUCAGGUACAUAGUGUAAUUAUUCAGGUGAAGAUAUAUAGUUAGUUAAAUCUUGUAUUUCUAAAAAAUUAUUUUACAGUAGAUAAAUUGUAAAAGUAUAGAAGUUCCUAAAAAGAAGAGAAACCUGACCAACAGAUGAUCCCUCACUUUCCAGUUUGUUUAAACAUAAUACUUUUUUCCUUAGCCAUAGCUUCUGAAGUACAACUUUAUUAAAUUUUGAAUUCAUUCAAAAAUUAUGCAAAUUUUUUCUGUAUGGUUUUAUUUAGGUAUAGUUAUUUCAAAGAAUGGUUUUGAGAUUAUUAGUAUUAUAGAAAUGAAAAGAUCCAAAUUUUACAGUUUUACUGAAAUAAAAUUCUUGUGAGAGCAGCCCAAGAAACUGAUUUAAUUCAGGUAUUUUCAGUAAUUGCUCACAAAUAUUGAUAAAAGGCAUGUUGAUUAAGUAUCGGGUGAAUAAAAGUUAAGUGUUAUUGAUGAUUGUGAAAGCCAGUUUUCAUGGACUAAGAAAACAUCCAGAGAAAGAAUCCAAAAUCAACUAGAUAAUGCAUGAAAGGCCAAAAAUACUCAAAUGGAAAACUAAGUUAGUUCUCACUCAUACAUUGUCGUUCGGCCAUCUGUUUUGUUCUAAUUAACAAAUUCCAAAUUGGUGACCAAAACACUAAGUAUAAACUUAAUCUGGUGCCAUAUUAGUUGUUUUUUUUUUUUACAGCACUCUGUCCCUGAGUGCUCUGCUUGGCGAGAGGGAGCAUUUUAUAAAUAAAACUAUUGCAUACUACUUUUUGCCCAAGAUAAAUAAUAAAAACACCUACGUGACUCUGCAGUAUUGUUUUUGUUUUUGUACACUAUCGGUUUCAAAUCUGUAUUCGUUUAAAUACAUUCAAAAAAUGCAUAAUUCUUUAGAACUUUUUAGAGAAUGAUUAAGCCCAAUUUGCUUAAUAAUAGAACAUUAACUGUAUAAAUGGAUUCAGAAAUGGUGCAUAGACCUAUUUGACUGAAUAUUAUUAAAAUAAAUAUUAGGAAACUCUUACCACGUAAAGUAUUGGUUUCAUUUUAACAAAUUGUACUGAGACUUUUUAAGUAUUUGUACAUGAUAGGUUCUGCUUAUUUGAAACAGAUUUGGUUAUUACAGUUCUGUUUGGGUACUAAACAAGCCAUAGUUAUUAGCAUUCACAGAAAAUGCACCCUCAAAGUUUCUAUGAAAGUAUACAAACUUGUUACCAAUCUUAACCUUGUUCAAACACAAAGUAGGGGGUUGAAUGAUUUGAGUUUGUGGGAGUUGAGAGAAUGGCUCAUAAGCCAGCUUUCAAUUCCUUGUCCAUUCAUUUAUAUUCACAUAUUUUAAAUUAAUAAUGUGUCUUCUAUUUAAAAUGUAAGCUCUGAGCCAGAAAUCUAGGGUAGUAUUCCAAAAUCUGCAGUUUGUUGUCAAUUUUUAAGACGUUUUGAAUUUUUGUAAGUUUUCUUGCAUGCUUUAUAUCAUUUUAUUUUGUUCCUAUUUUGUUCUCCUUCAGUAAGAGACAUACAGUGACUUUUUCCAAGACUUUAAGUUGAGAUAAUGGAACAGCCAAACAAAACUGCCUAGUAUGCAGUUAAAGAUCAGGAACCAAAGCUUGGAGAGUAAUAACUGCAGGUGCAGAGUUCUAUUCCUGGAAGUGAGAAAUACAAGCAUAUAUGAAUUAUCUAAUAAAAAAUGUAAAGAACUAAAUACUGAAUUUUAAAGGAUGUCCUUAAGAAAUGAUAUAAAACAAAAAGAUUAAAUAGAGUAAUCCUGAACAUUUAGGAAAACUGGGAACAUAUUAUAUCGAAGAGAACAAGGAGAAACACUUUCAGAAGGUAGCGAAUGGUCAGCAUUGCUAAGUGAUGCAGAGACUGGGGAGAGGGAUGAGGAACAAAAGAGAUAUUCUGUGUAUUUGACAAGUGGAAACAGUAUGUUGGGAAUGAGAAAUAGAUGAUAGGGAAAGAGGAAUUGAAUAGUCAGAAAAUGGAACAGCCUGUAUAGAUCAAAUCACUCACCAUGAAAUGUACUGACAGAAGAAAGAUAACUAAGAGGGUAAAUUGGUUGGAAAGGCAGGGUUCCAAGAGAAACUAUAUAUAAAUCUUUUUGUUAUUUGAAUAUAUACAUCUUUCUUAGGUAUUUGUCACCUAAAGAUAGGCAUCAUAAUGAUGUUAGAAUGAAGUUCCUGUGUGCUGCUGGUUAUCAAUAAGCAGCUUUUUUCUGGUUAUUUUAGAUGUCCAAAUUCUAAAUUCUUUUUGGAAAUGCUUGUGCCUACACAUAAAUACACUCCUCAUAACUGUACUUUGAGGUUUCUCAUUUUAAUAAAACACCCAUUAAGACCUUGAGUGUAUAUAUACACUCCUUUGACAUGCUGAAAAUGCACAUGGACUAAAUAAAUAUUUCCUUCCUCUAAACACUGUACCAGCUUCCUGUUCUGGAAAAAUAAUAUAUAAUCUAGUACCAAUACCAUGUCUCCCAAGUUUUGCCAAACAGCAUGGUCACAGUCAAGUUUAUGUUAACUAGUGUCCAGAUAUUUAUUUAUUUAAAUUUUUAAAAGUUUUAUUUAUUUAUUUUGAGAGAGAGACAGCAUGAGUAAGGGAGGGGUAGAUAGAGGGAGAGAAUCCCCUCCAUGCUGCCAGGGCAGAGCUUGGCAUGAGGCUGGAACUCAGGAACCCUGAGAUCGUGACCUGAACAGAAAUUAAGAGUCCAUCGUUCACCCAACUGAGCUACCUGGGCGCCCCCUAGUGUCCAGUUAUUUAAAAGCCAUUAAUUGAAGUUAGAAAAUUUAGUGUAUUUCAUGCAUAAAUGAAUAUUAAGUUUACAGUUCUCGUAUAGAUGCUUAAUAUUCACAGGUACUCACAUAUAAUUAUUGGAUAUAUUCUUUUUUGUUCCCUGGUUCCAAAAAAGAUUUGAGCAAUUUAUGGUAACAUGUAUAAGUCAGUGUUAACUAUAUGAAUAGAUACAGAAAUCACUCAAAUGUAAACUAAACUUAGUCACAGUAAGGUGAAGCCAGAGGAGAAGUUAGCUGGUGGGAGCAAGUAAGGGCUUUUGAAGUUAUCAAAAUUGAUCUGCAAAUAUAUGGACUUGAUUUGGGUCCCGAUUCAAACUAACCAACUAGGGAGAAAAAAGGGAACAUGAACUGACUGUUUAAUUGGGACUGGCACUGGUAUAGUAUCUCUUGUGGGUUAGGGAUCUAUACUAUAAAUUUUUGUUUGUUUUAAGUUUGUAUUUAAAUUACAGUUAUCAUAUAGUGUAAUAUUAGCUUCAGGAGUAGAAUUUAGAGAUUGAUCACUUACAUAGAACACCCAGUGCUCAUCUCAACAAGUGCCCUCCUUGAUAUCCAUCACUGCCCACCUCUCCUCCAGCAACCCUCAGUUUGUUCUCUAUAGUUCUGUGUAGUUAAGAGUUUGUUUUAUGGUUUGCCUCUCUUUUUUUCCCCUUAUGUUCAUCUGUUUUGUUUCUUAAAUUCCACAUAUGAGUGAAAUCAUAUAGUAUUUGUCUUUCUGUGACUUUCUUUGUUUCGCAUAAAACACUCUAGCUCCAUUCAUGUUGUUAGAAAUGGCACGCUUUCGUUCUUCUUUAUUGCUGAGUAAUAUUCCAUUAUAUAUAUACAGGUGAAAUUAUAAAUGUCUGGAAUUUGCUUUAAAAUAGUCCAGCAAAAACAUGGGGAAAGGAGGCUGAGAGGAUACAGAUAAAAGUGGCAGAAUGUUAAUUUUUGAAGCUAAGAUCUGAUACUGGGCACAUGAGGACUUGCAUAUAUUUGGAAGUUUCUAUAAUAAGUUGAAAAAAAUGGGUUGCAGUUUGGGUACUGGGAUUCAUAAUGACUAAAGGAAAGUAACUGUAAUUUUAUUUUUAAGUGGAAUGUUUUAUGUUGUAAGUACCAUUGGUAGUCAAAAUAAGGAACAAAAAUAAAGUCAUGAGAACCAAUUUAUACAUAAAUUCCCUUAAACUUUCUUCCAUUUAUCUUUAAAUAUCUAAUACCCUGCCUGUCAUAGGAGAGGCACACAGCAAAUGCUUGUUGAAUUGAAUUAAUCUGUAUCUUGCAACAGUAAAAGUGUUUAAUUUUUAGAGAGAUUUAAACUUUUCUUUUUCUCCAAGAACUUAUCUUUAGAAAUGGGGAGGGGUGCCUGGGUGGCUCAGUUGGGUUAAGCAGCCGACUUCAGCUCAGGUCAUGAUCUCACGAAUCAUGAGUUUGAGCCCCGCGUCGGGCUCUCUGCUGACAGCUUGGAGCCUGGAGCCUGCUUCGGAUUCUGUGUCUGCCUCUUUCUCUGCCCCUCCCCUGCUGAUGCUCUAUCCCUCAAAAAUAAAUAAACACU